rnacentral:rRNA from 1 species
ACUCAAAGGAAUAGACGGGGGCCCGCACAAGCGGUGGAGCAUGUGGUUCAAUUCGAUGCAGAGCGAAGAACCUUACCUGGGCUUGACAUGACGGAAGUAGGAGCCUGAAAGGGUGACGACCUGUUGAGUCAGGAGCCGUCACAGGUGGUGCAUGGCUGUCGUCAGCUCGUGCCGUGAGGUGUUGGGUUAAGUCCCGCAACGAGCGCAACCCUUACCCGAUGUUGCCAGCGGUUAGGCCGGGCACUCUUCGGGGACUGCCGGCGAAGAGCUGGAGGAAGGGGGGGAUGACGUCAAGUCCGUAUGCCCCUUAUGUCCAGGGCUACACACAUGCUACAAUGGGCGGUACAGAGGGACGCCAACCCGCGAGGGGGAGCCAAUCCCCCAAAGCCGCUCUCAGUUCGGAUUGCAGGCUGCAACUCGCCUGCAUGAAGUCGGAAUCGCUAGUAAGCGCAGAUCAGCAGGCUGCGCUGAAUACGUUCCCGGGCCUUGUACACACCGCCCGU